rnacentral:rRNA from 1 species
AGAGUUUGAUCAUGGCUCAGAACGAACGCUGGCGGCAGGCCUAACACAUGCAAGUCGAACGCAUCCUUCGGGGUGAGUGGCAGACGGGUGAGUAACACGUGGGAACGUGCCUUUCGGUUCGGGAUAACCCAGGGAAACUUGGGCUAAUACCGGAUACGCCCUUACGGGGAAAGAUUUAUUGCCGAAAGAUCGGCCCGCGUCUGAUUAGCUAGUUGGUGAGGUAAUGGCUCACCAAGGCGACGAUCAGUAGCUGGUCUGAGAGGAUGAUCAGCCACACUGGGACUGAGACACGGCCCAGACUCCUACGGGAGGCAGCAGUGGGGAAUAUUGGACAAUGGGCGCAAGCCUGAUCCAGCCAUGCCGCGUGAGUGAUGAAGGCCUUAGGGUUGUAAAGCUCUUUCGGCGGGGACGAUAAUGACGGUACCCGCAGAAGAAGCCCCGGCUAACUUCGUGCCAGCAGCCGCGGUAAUACGAAGGGGGCUAGCGUUGUUCGGAAUCACUGGGCGUAAAGGGCGCGUAGGCGGCCUGAUAAGUCGGGGGUGAAAGCCUGUGGCUCAACCACAGAAUGGCCUUCGAUACUGGGGACCUUGAGACCGGAAGAGGUAAGUGGAACUGCGAGUGUAGAGGUGAAAUUCGUAGAUAUUCGCAAGAACACCAGUGGCGAAGGCGGCUUACUGGUCCGGUUCUGACGCUGAGGCGCGAAAGCGUGGGGAGCAAACAGGAUUAGAUACCCCAGUAGUCC